rnacentral:rRNA from 1 species
UCUACGGGAGGCAGCAGUGGGGAAUAUUGCGCAAUGGGCGAAAGCCUGACGCAGCGACGCCGCGUGAGGGAUGAAGGUCUUCGGAUCGUAAACCUCUGUCAGCAGGGAAGAACGGUCACUGUGCUAAUCAGCAGUGAAUUGACGGUACCUGCAAAGGAAGCACCGGCUAACUCCGUGCCAGCAGCCGCGGUAAUACGGAGUGUGCGAGCGUUACUCGGAAUUACUGGGCGUAAAGCGCUCGUAGGCGGUAUGGCAAGUCAAGGGUGAAAUCCCCGCGCUCAACGUGGGAACUGCCUUUGAAACUGGCAAACUGGAGUGUGUGAGAGGAUAGUGGAAUUCCAGGUGUAGGAGUGAAAUCCGUAGAUAUCUGGAGGAACAUCAGUGGCGAAGGCGACUAUCUGGCACAUAACUGACGCUGAGGAGCGAAAGCGUGGGUAGCAAACAGGAUUAGAUACCCCUGUAGUC